UAACCUUAUCAGUAGAAAUAAGAGUAUAUUGUGAGGCCUUGGCUAGGUUCAUGAUGACACAGGACCUUGUCUGAAUAUGAUGAUUUCAAGAUUUGAGCUUAAAUUGACACUCUGAAAUCUAGUCAGUGUGCCUCACUAGACUUUACAGAGCACAUUAUUCUUGAAAAAAACUUGGCUUUUUGUAAAAACUUAGAACAUAUAGAUAUGCCUUUUCUAGUAUAGAACUUUGCCAUUUCUUCAAAUGUCUUUUAUUUUCAUUGAUAUUCUGAGGUAAUUCUUUUUUUCUGAACUUUGUAUGUUGUUGAAAGCUAAAGGGAAACAUCUUGGAUCACAGAAGAUAGCAGGCAUCUGGUGAGAUGGAAGUAAGGAUGUGUACAAAUGAAACUAUCAACUAUUGAAAACAAAGAGUACUAAAGUCCUAGGGUUCUAAAUGAUGUCCAGGAAUGAAAGAAUAAUAUUUGUCGAGCAUAUAUUGUGGAUCACAUGGUGUUAUAAUCCUGCUGGAGUUAUGGUGAAGGAACAUCAGUUGCCACUAUGGGAAAUUAACAAUUUGUCAGAUGAGCCCCGUCUUCAUAUUGCAGCAUGCCCUAUUGCAACUUUCUGCUUGAGAGUCUGAUUCGGGAUACUUAUGUCCCUCCAGGUAUUAAAAUAUGAACAACUAAACAAGAAAGAAGUGUUAAGGAGACAGUUUGUACGUAUUUUCAUUCUUGCAACUCACCAUCGUUGGAGCAUUUGGUUGUCAUAUCCAGCUUUGUCUUCCCAGAGGCCUUUGUGAAUGAUUUUUUUCAAUGAUUUUAUGAAGAGUAUGCAAUUUAAGAGAAUAAAUAGUAUUGGAUUAUCCAAGAAAAGAAGGAAGAAGAUGGAAUUAUAGGUAUUCACAAUGAGAGAUAUAUUGAAGGUAACUUGAGUACAGCUGAUGAAAUCAUCAGGAAUAUCUUGCUUUGGAGUCCUUAAUUUUUACAUCUUAACUGCAAAGCAUAGAUGAUAGUUUCAAGAAAGAAUACUUCUAUCAUCCUUGGUUUUAAUCCUGUGAAUGAUAUGUACUAGCAAUGAAAGAUCUGUUGGAGUAAUUUAAUUCAUGUGUUCUUCACUCCUAUCUCUCACUUGGCGGGAAUUACUGGAAAGAAAUGCAUGCCAUUGUUUUUACCACCUUCUUCCUCAAAACUAAAAUAUGUUCUGCAUAAUGAAUGAAGACUUUAUACUUAAUGUGUGUUGCAAUGGACACUCCUUGCUCAUCAGAAGAACUGAACUCAGAAAACUUGUUUUUGAAAAGAGACCUAAAAUAUAGCCCAGAAAAUUCUAAUACUUAGUUGUAUUAAUUGUCUUUAUUGUUGCUGUUGGACUUUAUCUCAGGAAGUGCAAUGGAAGAAACAUUUGUGUCCAGAGAAGUUUUCCAUAAGUAUAAAGUGCAUGCAUUUAUAAUUAUCACUUAUGACAGGAUAAAUUUGAACAUGACUUUAAAAUAUUAAAGAAUGCAGAAUCUUGUGAAGCAGGGUUUUUUUUGGUACUGAGAAAUGACCCCGUGGUGCUUUACCACUAGGCUUCAUCCCCAGUCCUUUUUAUUUUGAGACAGUGUCUUGCUUAGUUGCAGAAGGUAUUUCUGAGGCUGACUUUGAACUUGGCAAUCCUACUGCCUCAGUCUUCAAUUCUCUGGGAUUAUAGGGAUGUGCCACCAUGCUAAGCUAAUAUUUUUGUUUAUUAAAUUUUUUUCUCCUUCUAAUUCAUACUCUAAUACUAUUUGCUAUUAAAUUGAUACAAUUUGUAUUUUUUUCAUGGGUUGAUCUUAGCUAUGUAUUCUCUAUUUGGUAAACAUCCUUAUGUAUAAAUUUGAAUUUUUCAGCUACUUUGGAAUAUUUUCUGUGGAUUGGAAUUGCCGGGGAAAAGUAUUUCCAAAAUCUACAAUUGAGUAAAUUUCCUCCUAAUUGGAAAUUUUCCGUGUUUAUAAUUGCAUUUUUUUCUCAGUUGAUGCUUACAAUUAUUUUACACAUUGGAAAAAAUGCAGUUUUAAUUUCAUUUGCACCAAAUUUAAUAGAUUAAUUAGAGAAUAGAUCACUUUAAAAUUGAGUCUUCCUAUCCAACUUCAAGGAGUCUUAUUAAGAAAGUAGGUGCCUAAUCCAAUAUGAUGGAGGUUUGGGUCUACUUUUUCUUCUAUUAGACGCAGGAUCUCUGGUUUAAUUCCUAGGUCCUUGCUCCACUUUCAGCCUCUUUCACAAGCAAGGACCCAAAAGAGCUUCCCUUAAGUUCUAGAUGGACACAAUAUUUAACUUUUAUGUGGUGUUGAGGAUCGAACCCAGCACCUCGCCCAUGCCAGGUCAAAAUAUAUAACAUGUUAGAGUGCUUCAGGGAAGAGAGAGAAGAGGAGGGCUUUAAUGAGGUCUUCCAUUUCAGAAAAUAGGGGUAAGUAGCUGAAUCAGUAUACUCUGACAUUCAUACACCGUGUUAUUUGCCCCAUCUUCAGAGUUUUGUGUUUAUUUUGUCUGUGACUUAUAGGAUGAUAUCUAUAUGAAGUGACUUUUUCUUUGUUGAACUCCACCUGCAUUACUAAAUUAUCAGAUUUUUGCAUGGAAUGACAAUUAUAAAAUUUGGGGAAUUUUUUGCAGUUUUAUAUUAUAAUAAAAUAUCUUUUGGGGUACUCUAAGUAUGCUGAAGGUUAUCUUAAAAAUAUUUGGUUAUAGUGCAUUGACUUUAUGAUUAAGAUUAUCAUCAGAUCGCUUGGGUCAGAUUCUAGUUAUUAUGGAUGAUUAUUCUCAUCAUGAAGAUUUGAAUUUAUUUUCUUACACUUUUUGAUCUGGAAAAUUAUAUAUCAAGUUUUAUAAGUUUUUUUAAAGCCAUGAAGAUUUUGAAUGACAAAGAAUUAUGCAUGAAGCACUUCAUCGUUCUGAAAUAAGUUUAAUUGUCCAGUGAUGAUAUACUGGAAUUUUAUAUACAGAAUCGUUAUUUGUUUAUGAAGUUGAAGUUAGCAUCAGUAGAACAAAUAGUUUGUUUCUUGCCAUGAUUAUAAAGAUUUUAUAUUACCUGAAACAUUUGCCUGCCUGCCUGCCUGCCUGCCUUCCUUCCUUCUACUUGGAACUGAAUCCAGGAGAUGCUAUCUAACAAUUAGCUACACCACAGACCUUUUUAUUUUUUUAUUUUGAGACAAGGUCUUGCUAAGUUGCUAAGGGUGGCCUUCAAUGUGUGAUCACACUUUUCCAGCCUCUCAAGUCACUGACAAUAUAGGCAUGUACCUCUGCAUCUUGCUAUGUUAUUUUUCUUUUGAAAAAUUUAUUGUCAUAAUUUUUUUCAAAUGGCUAGUUUAGGUUUUUCUUUUAUAUUUGUAGUAUACUUUAAUAUAUGUAUUUAUUUCUCCAGAAACAAGUAUGAUAAUUAACAAAAUAUUAUGAAGAAUAAGAAUUGUAAGUUCUAAGAGUAAAAGCUCAUAUCACAUGGUGAAAGUUGCUCUAGCCUUUCAUCACUUAAAAAAUGUUUUAGGGUAGAUAUGAAUAGGAGAAGCAUUGAAAUAUGUUUUUGUUUUGUUUUUUAGUACUUGGAGUUGAACCCAGGGUUUUUCUACCACUGAGCUACAUCUCUAAUUGUCUAAUUUUAUUUUGAGACAGGAGAUUGACAAAUUGUCCAAGCUUUUAUAGAACUUAACAAUCUUGGACUGUUAUAGACUUAAUAAUCCUGCUGCAAAUUCCCAAGUGGCUGUGAUUACAGGUGUGUGCCACUGUGCCCACCAUUGGUUCAUGGUUUUAAUCUAAUAAACAUGUUACAAAGCUGUAAUUUGUAUAUCUGUUCAUAAUAGAAUAUAAAUAGAUUUGUGAUAUCUUAGCUGCUUUUCCAAUCCAAGAAAUAUAUAUUGACUAUGAAGUUUAUGCUAUAAAUUGCCAGGGAUAAAAAUGUACAACCCAUGGCUGGGUGUGGUGACACAUGCCUAUACUCCCAGGGGCUCUGGAGGCUAAGGCAGGAGGAUCUCAAGUUCAAAGCCAGCUUUAGCAAGAGCAAGGUGCAUUCAGUGAGAUCCUGUCACUAAAUAAAAUACAAAAUAGGACUGGGGAUGUGGCUCAGUGUUCAAGUGCCCCUGAGUUCAAUCCCUAGUACCAAAAACCAAAAAAGUACAACCCAAUGUGAUAUAUGUUGUAAAUGGACACAGUACCUUUUGUUUAUUUAUUUGUUUUUAUGUGGUGCUGAGGCUCGAACCCCGUGCCUCACACAUGCUAAGCAAGUGCUAUACCACUCAGCUACAACCCCAGCCCCACAAUGUGUUUUUUUAAAGGAAUUUCUAAGUGUGAGAACAGAACAAAGAUGAGCUAUCUCAUUAUUUGUGUUCAUAUUGUUCUUCAUAGUGCUACUCCAUGCAAUAGAUUAAAAAAAAUACCAUGAUAAUAGGAAUAAACAAAGCUGUCUUUACUGGUGAUAAUAUUGUAUAUUUUCAUUUUAAUUCAUUUAUGGCAUUUUAUUAUAACAUUUUAAAUUUAAUUUAAAAAUUUAAUUGGAUUUUAAUUUUAUAUCUCAUUUUUUGUUACUGAGGAUUGAACCCAAGGGCAGUUUACAACAUAGAUAUAUCCCCAGCCCUUUUUUUAUUUUCAAAUUUUGAGAGGGUCUUGCUAAAUGGCCCAGGCUGGCCUUGAACUUGGGUUCCUCCUGCCUCAGCCUCCUGAUCAUUGGGAUUACAGGUAUGUGCCACCAGGCCCUAAUUUAUUGUGGUACAUUCAUAGGUGCAUAAUUUGAUCACUUUCAUUCCACCCUUUUCCUGUCCUUCCUUCCUUUCCCUAAAUCUCCUACUUCUAUUCUACUGAUCACCUUUCUAUUUUCAUGGGAUUCCCCUCCCCUUUACCCCCUUAUUUUGGUCAAGCUUCUGAAUAUGAGAGAAAAUAUUCAACCCUUGACUUUUUGAGUCUGUCUUAUUUCAUUUAGUAUUAUAUGUCCUCUAUUUCCAUCCAUUUACCAGCAAAUGCCAUAAUUUCAUCCUUUUUAUAUACCUAAGUAAAAUUACAUUGUGUAUAUAUAUACCACAUUUUCUGUGUCUUGGCAUCUGUAGAAAGAUUCACAGCUGUGAGUCCCAUUCAGUGUACUCUUGAAAAAAAAAAUGUGUAUUUUGCUGCAUGGAAUUUUGUGUUUAUGUGUUAAGUUUGGUCUAAUUUGUUUAUAGUGUUGUUCAAGUCCUUUGAUUCCUUAAUGGUGUGGUUUUUAGUUAUUCAGUCAUUAAAAUAUAUACAUAUUGUAAAAUUAUUAAAAAUUUGCCUUUAUCUGUAAUUUUUUUUUUGCUUCUUACAGUUUUGUGUUAAGUAUGUAUAUGUGCUAGUAAGCUAGAAAGCUCCCUUUACUAUGUACUGAAGGAUGUUAUGGUGGGGAGCAAAUUGCAUAAGAGUCUUUUCUUAUUUCUGGACUUCUGGGAAACAGAAGGAGGAGGGGCUAAGUCCCAAUAUGGCCUUAAUGGGCACAUCUCAGUAACCUAACUUUCUCUCUCUUAGACCCUAUCUCUUAAAGGUUCUAUCAUCUGCCAAUUGUGCCAAAGGGUGGCAGCGAUAUUUUUUUUUUAUAUUUAUUUUUUAGUCAUAGUUAGACACAAUACCUGAAUUUAGUUUUUUAAAAAAAUAUUUAUUUUUUAGGUGUAAGUUGGACACAAUGCCUUUAUUUUAUUUACUUAUUUUUAUGUGGUGCUAAGGAUUGAACCCAGGGCCUUGCACGUGCUAGGUGAGUGCUCUACCGCUGAGCCACAACCCCAGCCCCGGCAGCCACAUCUUUAAAUGCAGACCUUUGACAGACAUUUUCCUGAAUUAUACCAGUAUAUAUUUGCAAUUGCUACAUAUUUUCAAUCAAUUGCAGGCCUUGUGCUUGCUUGGUAAGCCCUUUACCACUAAAUUACACCCUAAACUUCAAUUGAUCUCUUUCUAUGUAGAACUUUUUCUUGUAAAAAUUUUUAUUUUGACAUGAUUUUCGCUGAUAUUUAAUCUAGAAUUCUAAAUCUAUUUUAGCUUAUGUCCAUAUGGAAAACCUUUUUCCCAUGUUUUCCCUUUCAUUAAGUUUGUGUCUUUGAAUCAAAGUGUGGUUCUCUUGUUCAUAGCAUGUAGUUAUAUUUCCGAUGACUUACUCCUUUUAAUAAGAAAUUUCAACCCAUUUACAUUUGAUGUAAGAAAUAGUAAAGAAUAAUUUCUGCCAUUUUGCUAGUUCUUUUCUCUUUGCAUUAUAUGCUUUAUUCCCUACAUUCUUCACGCUUGCCUUUUUGUGUUUAAUAAUACUUUCUAAAGACCCACUGAGAAGAAAAUCAGAAAAUGGUUCCAUUCACAAUAGCCUAAAAUAAAUAAAUUAGUAAAACAAAAUACCUAGGAAUACCCCUAACUAAGAAGAUGAAAGACCUCAAUGAUGAAAAUUACAGAACACUGAGAAAAGAAAUUGAGACUUUCUCAUUGAUGUCCUUUGAUAUUAUGUAGAUAAUUUUUAAUCCUUCAAUGAUUUUAUAUUUAUUUUGUUAGUGGUUGCUUGUAAUAAUUUGUUAACUAUUUAUAAUAGAAUUUACAUUUAUUAUUAAAUUUAAUUUCAGUGUUAUAAAAAAUCUUUAUUCCUUUAUAACUGUUUUCUUGUAUUUAUUUAUUAUUUUCUUUUUCUCUUUCCCUUCCCCUUCAUUUCUUUCUUUUCUUGUGGUAUUGGCAAUUAUACUCAAGGCCCUGUACAUGAUUGACAGCAUUCUACCACUUAACUACAUCACUAGCCCUUUUCAUUUUUUUUUUUUUUUUACUUUAAAUUUUGAGACAAGGUGUCACUAUGUGGCCGAAGAGUUGCUGAGAGUGGUCUUGAAUUUGACUGUCCUCCUAUCAGCCCUUCCCAUAGCUGGAAUAUAGACAUGCUGUAUCAGUUAUGCUCCAUUUUUGUGGGUUUUUUUUGUCAUUCAAAUCACAACUUUUCUCCAUUGUUAAGACUUUAGGCAAUUUUAGACUUCUUGCUUUAUGCAAUCACCUGAUUAUCAAAUCACUAGUGUAUUUAUACUUUCUUUUUUUCUUAGAGCUUUGUGGCUAUACAUAGUAGUUGGCUUCCUCUCCACAAACACAUACAUUCAGGGAAUUUGAUUUCAGUCGACAAUCCCCUACUUUUUCCUCCUUGUUUUCCCUGCCCCCCAAUACCCUGUACCGCCCCCAUUCUCCUUCCUGUACUCUGCUAGACUUCCUUGUGAUCAUCUGUUUAUUUACAUUUGAUUAUUUCAUUUUACUUAUGCAUAAAGUUAUAUAUAACCAUGUAAUUACCAGUGGUAUAUUUAUAUAUGUACAU